ACAGCACAGCUUUACUGGUACUCGG
rnacentral:piRNA from 1 species